rnacentral:rRNA from 1 species
GGUUAAGCGACUAAGCGUACACGGUGGAUGCCCUGGCAGUCAGAGGCGAUGAAGGACGUGCUAAUCUGCGAUAAGCGUCGGUAAGGUGAUAUGAACCGUUAUAACCGGCGAUUUCCGAAUGGGGAAACCCAGUGUGAUUCGUCACACUAUCAUUAACUGAAUCCAUAGGUUAAUGAGGCGAACCGGGGGAACUGAAACAUCUAAGUACCCCGAGGAAAAGAAAUCAACCGAGAUUCCCCCAGUAGCGGCGAGCGAACGGGGAGCAGCCCAGAGCCUGAAUCAGUGUGUGUGUUAGUGGAAGCGUCUGGAAAGGCGUGCGAUACAGGGUGACAGCCCCGUACACAAAAAUGCACAUACUGUGAGCUCGAUGAGUAGGGCGGGACACGUGGUAUCCUGUCUGAAUAUGGGGGGACCAUCCUCCAAGGCUAAAUACUCCUGACUGACCGAUAGUGAACCAGUACCGUGAGGGAAAGGCGAAAAGAACCCCGGCGAGGGGAGUGAAAAAGAACCUGAAACCGUGUACGUACAAGCAGUGGGAGCACGCUUAGGCGUGUGACUGCGUACCUUUUGUAUAAUGGGUCAGCGACUUAUAUUCUGUAGCAAGGUUAACCGAAUAGGGGAGCCGAAGGGAAACCGAGUCUUAACUGGGCGUUAAGUUGCAGGGUAUAGACCCGAAACCCGGUGAUCUAGCCAUGGGCAGGUUGAAGGUUGGGUAACACUAACUGGAGGACCGAACCGACUAAUGUUGAAAAAUUAGCGGAUGACUUGUGGCUGGGGGUGAAAGGCCAAUCAAACCGGGAGAUAGCUGGUUCUCCCCGAAAGCUAUUUAGGUAGCGCCUCGUGAAUUCAUCUCCGGGGGUAGAGCACUGUUUCGGCAAGGGGGUCAUCCCGACUUACCAACCCGAUGCAAACUGCGAAUACCGGAGAAUGUUAUCACGGGAGACACACGGCGGGUGCUAACGUCCGUCGUGAAGAG